GUGGGGAAUCUUGCGCAAUGGGCGAAAGCCUGACGCAGCCAUGCCGCGUGAAUGAUGAAGGUCUUAGGAUUGUAAAAUUCUUUCACCGGGGACGAUAAUGACGGUACCCGGAGAAGAAGCCCCGGCUAACUUCGUGCCAGCAGCCGCGGUAAUACGAAGGGGGCUAGCGUUGCUCGGAAUUACUGGGCGUAAAGUGCGCGUAGGCGGACAGUUUAGUCAGAGGUGAAAGCACAGGGCUCAACCUUGGAAUUGCCUUUGAUACUGGCUGUCUUGAAUACGGGAAAGGUGAGUGGAACUCCGAGUGUAGAGGUGAAAUUCGUAGAUAUUCGGAAGAACACCAGUGGCGAAGGCGACUCACUGGCCCGUUACUGACGCUGAGGCGCGAAAGCGUGGGGAGCAAACAGGAUUAGAUACCCUGGUAGUCC
rnacentral:rRNA from 1 species